rnacentral:rRNA from 1 species
GGGUAGCGGAACACGUACGCAACCUUCCUUUAAGCGGAGAAUAGCCCAGGGAAACUUGGAUUAAUACUCCAUAAGAUUACGGUGUGGCAUCACACAGUAAUUAAAGCUCCGGCACUUAAAGAUGGGCGUGCGGCUGAUUAGGUAGUUGGCGGAGUAACAGCCCACCAAGCCAACGAUCAGUAACUGGUGUGAGAGCACGACCAGUCACACGGGCACUGAGACACGGGCCCG